rnacentral:ncRNA from 1 species
GCAAAACCGAUGAGAAAGAGGAGUAAGCUUGAAAUGAAAUUACAGAGAGCGGCAGAUGGUGGGAUUGCCGUAUGGACUUUGAAGCUGAAUGGACUUUCGAGGGCAGCCCGAAAUGAAAAGAGUAGGCGUUGUCGGGAACCGAACCCGUUAUCAAUCAGGCGUGUAUGUCAGUACAUGGUAAAGUGGACAUUUGGCAAUGUCAAGUUGAGUGGUACCGCGAUAAUAAAUGAUUUUAUUACCGUCUCAAGU